UACAGAGGGUGCGAGCGUUAAUCGGAAUUACUGGGCGUAAAGCGCGCGUAGGCGGCUUUGCAAGUCGGGUGUGAAAUCCCCAGGCUCAACCUGGGAACUGCAUUCGAGACUGCAUUGCUAGAGUAUGGGAGAGGGAAGUGGAAUUUCAGGUGUAGCGGUGAAAUGCGUAGAUAUCAGGAGGAACACCGGUGGCGAAGGCGGAUCUCUGGGCCGUAACUGACGCUGAGGAGCGAAAGCAUGGGGAGCGAACAGG
rnacentral:rRNA from 1 species